rnacentral:misc_RNA from 1 species
GAUGAAGAACGUAGCGAAAUGCGAUAAGUAAUGUGAAUUGCAGAAUUCAGUGAAUCAUCGAAUCUUUGAACGCACAUUGCGCCCGCCAGUAUUCUGGCGGGCAUGCCUGUUCGAGCGUCAUUUCAACCAUCAAGCCCCCGGCUUGUGUUGGGGACCUGCGGCUGCCGCAGGCCCUGAAAAGCAGUGGCGGGCUCGCUGUCACACCGAGCGUAGUAGCACACCUCUCGCUCUGGGCGUGCUGCGGGUUCCGGCCGUUAAACCACCUUCAUAACCCAAGGUUGACCUCGGAUCAGGUAGGAAGACCCGCUGAACUUAAGCAUAUCAAUAAGCGGAGGA